UACGAAAGUUGAAUUUUCGAAACUACAAAAUUUUGGUAUAAAUACGAGGACGAUUUAAUGGGUUCGACAUUAUAAUUAACAAUAUGAAGAUCCAAGUAUUUCUAGCUAUUGCGCUGAUUAUAUUAGCAAUAGCUAUUGCUCAUCCAAGUCCGAAAGCUCAUAGAGGUGGCUGCUGUGGCCCUUGGGUUGGUGGAGGUGGCGGAGGCGGCGGCGGUGGCGGUGGAGGUUGGCAAAGCGGUGGUGGAGGAGGAGGUGGUGGAAAAUAGAUUUACACAGAUUGUGAUAUCUUUCUUAAAGCAAAUAAAUAAGCCAAAGUGCUAUUAUUAAAUAAGUGAGUUAUUCAUUAAAUAUUUGGAUAUAUCGUCCUUUCUAAAAUAUUGACAAUUAACAAUAACCUAUGUAAAGAACAUUAUAUCAAAAUCCAUACAUAAUAUUCAAAGUUUAAAAACUCGCUAUUUUAAAUACUUUUUAAUUCAUCAUUUUGAGUACUUUAGCCCUGCAAUAAAUAAACUGUUGAGCAUAGUAAAAUUAUUUCGAAGUACAUCAACUAUUUUCGAAUUUUCUUUCUGUUGCCAAUAUUGUAAUA